UCAUCUGUAUGAUGGUGAUUGGUGUGGUCUCCUCUUAACCCUCUCAAGGUCCCUUCUCGCAAACCCUCUUUCGUCAUCUUUCCUAUGCCCACCACACCGUCCCUCCCCUGUGCCCUCUUGUUCUGUAAUUAUUUUUAGUUUUUUCAUGAGAUGUCCGUAUUCAUGUCAACUUGGCCACCAAUCCACAUGUAUUUAUGCUAUUUCCAUUUUAAAUUCAAGUGAUUAGCGCUUCCUAACAAGAACAAGGAGAUUAUUGAUUCCGUGAUGCAGUAUUAAAGGUUCUCUUUCAGGAUUCGACAACUAUACAUGCUGUAUAUAUUGCUCAUGCUUGGAAUUGAGUGAGCACAUCAAACGGCGAGCAUCUGUGACGAAUGACCACCAAGAAAGAAAUCUGUGAGGUAAACGAGAACAUGACCAUUGUUUUAUAUGAUGGAGAUCAUCAGAUGUCGUCUGGUGGACCCAUGUUUUCACAUGCAAGACACGUUUCAGGAUCUGAUGCCCUGCACUGUUCAUGGCAGUAUAAUCAGAGCCUUGAGUAGGUUUUUUUUUUUCCGAUGACUACUGUAUACAUACAUGAUGAUAAUUUAGUUCAAAAAACAAGGACCACUGCAUGCAGCUUCUUUUGGGUUCAAAAAUAUUGUAUUUAACCAUGGAGUUGCAUGUGCUGUGGCGUGCUCAGCUCGCACCUCUAUGCUUGCAUGGAGCUUUGUGGAUGGAUGGAUAGGACUUUGUUUUCUUCCCCACUCUAUUCAUGUUUUAUCCAUAGGAAUAUUAUUGAAUACAAUACCAAAUCUUCCAUAUCACCCAUGGCGAUCCUUCCUGGGAAUGUGUAGUUUUCUUGGUGAAGCCGUCGAUGAUGAGUGCAAGGGGAGGCCGACGAGGAUACAUAGGGAGAUCAGCAGGUCAAUAUAUAUUUAAAAGAGCAGCACAGUAACCCUUGAUUAAUUAACCACAGACUAAUUCACCCUCACCCUCGUCUUAACGUGGCUAAUAAUUAAGAGCCUUGUGGCUGUGGGUGGUCGACCAUUUUGGAUGAGGACUGGAGCCGGCAAAGAUGUCCAAAGACAAGAGAAAGCCAACAAAAGAUUGGCAAAAGGGAAAGUUGCCAAAGUCGAUUUCUUGAUUUCUUUCUGUCCUGUCCAGCUAACUUUAUAAAUAUCCGAAUUAUGUAUGUUUACAAGCUUCGACCCACUUUUAACCUAAUUGUAGCUACAUGGAUUAACACCUCAAGG